rnacentral:lncRNA from 1 species
CUUUUUACGUCUGAGAGAUGCCCCUAAAAGUCAGAGGAAGAAUCUUCUGUAUGCUACCUGGACUUCAAAGCUCCCAUUAGAACAGCUAAAUGAAAUGAUAAGAAACCCAGGGGAAGGACAUUUCUGGCAGGUGGAUCACAUCAAGCCAGUGUAUGGGGGAGGAGGACAGUGUUCCCUGGACAACCUGCAGACUCUCUGCACAGUCUGUCACAAAGAGGUCAGUGAAGCUCUCAUAUAGCUUUGACUGCAUCCUGAGAAGUCAAAUGGAAAAUUGUGCACACAGUUGUGGAAGAUUAUGUGGAUGAAUUUAUCUCUGGUCUGAGAUUCGAGGCACAUUUUACUCCUUUCAUCACCCAACACUUGCCUUUCCUCUCAAGGCCCGUGUCACAGAUGCAAGAGAAGCUGCUUCCCUUUUCAUUCAUUCUAGGACCAAGACAUUUGCACCACUACCAAGAAAGAAAUGAAUACAGUUUACAUAUUGUCUUGAUGAGACCCGGAUCCUCAAACUGGAAGUUUGGUGAAUUGGGGCAGUGAUACAUGUUUGCAUAUAACUAAGGAUAUCCUGAAAUAUCUGAAAACAUUGAUAAGUUAUCUCUAGGACCAACUCAGUU